rnacentral:lncRNA from 1 species
GUGUUGUUGACUUGGGCAGAGGCGUCUUCCAGGAGGCUCUCGCAGUCCCGCAACGCCGCCUCGGAACGAGGAUCCUUGGCUCGGAGAAUUAGGGUUUUGGGGAAGGAUGAGAGAUUGGAGAGGUGGGUGAAGGAGAUUUUGAGAGAGGCCAUGAAGAUGAGCUCUGGAUCGAAUUUUGGGGAGGCGUUGAGGGUGGAGAGAGUGGAGAAGCAGGAGACAGGGUACUGAGUGACAUUGCAGAUGGUUUUGAUAGAGUCGGCGUAGCUGGAAGAAAGGGAGGGGUAUUCGGGUGAUUGGGUGUAGGAAUGGUGAACGAGUGCUCCCACCACCGCACCGAUGAUCAAGGUGA